CCGAAGGAGCGGUCGGUGAUGAGGCGAGCUGGAUGCUAAGUCUUGGCCCGCCACCUAGCUCCAUCUGACGAUGUAACGUCGGACACGCAUCCAAGAACACCUCCGACCAAGUUUUGAGAGAUAAGCGAUUUUGAAGGAGUGCUCAGUGAUGAGGCGAGCUUAAUUGAUGCUAAGUCUUGGCCCGCCACCUAGCUCCAUCUGACGGUAUAAGGUCGGACUGGCAUCCAAGAACACCUCCGACCAACUUUUGAAUUGCGGAGUCCAGUGAGCGAGGGCUAGCUGACAUCUGGUUCAAUUUCAUGGUUCUGCUUUCGGUGGGGAAAUCCCUUCUUACUGCAGCAGACAUUCCACUUACGGACUCUCGAACCACGACUUCUUGACGGACGACACGCCGUCGCUGAAGGCCUCCUUGGGACGCCAGAGGAUCUCCGCAGGCAGCAAGCCCAGGCCGUCAAAGGCCUUACGCAGGAGGUACUUCUCAAUGCCCUGCUGGGGGCAGCGCAUGUCGGCCGGGAGCGACAGAAAAUAGGAUGUGAAGUGGUGAUCCAGGAGUGGAACGCGGAGUUCAAGGCUUGGUGGGAGAAAUAAAGACAAACAUUAACAGGCCAAACCACUGAAGAGCCAAUCAGAGUGCUUGUAAAUACCCUGGUCACUCAUGGACUACAGGAAAGUGUACUGUCUAUACAGUGCUUCAUUCACGGACACAAGCGGUGAUUCAAUGAAACUCGUUCUCCAACAUUUCAAUUUUCCUUCUAGAGUGAGUGGUAUUUUGGUGACAUCACUGGUAAGUGUUUCUGUAAAUCAAACUGGAGGUUCUAUGAUCCGUGAGGGUUGAAGUUGUCCAGUUUUUAAACCUCUGUAACUCGACAUGAAUUCAACUUGGGGACGCACACAAUGCAUCUAAAUUCAUCAUUAACUUUGGGCAAUGUCACAGAGUUUGGAAACGGCGUAAUGGAGGUAUCUGUAACAUUGGUCCUGUCAACGAAACCCCUAGGCCUCGGCGAAUGUGAUCUCUCGCUGACUGUGCUCUCUGCAAACAGUCCGCUAAUUAAUGUGCAUGGUGCAACGUAAGCAGCCUAGUUGAAACCAUCAACACAGCAUCCUGCAUACUGACAUUUUGGGGGAAGGUUUUGGGUAACCCCCUCCCCCCAAAAAAAUUCUUGCUAGCAACUGAAUAUAACUAUUGGUGGCAACCAUUAACUUGUUGUCAUGUUAUGUUACAUAUAUCAUUUCUGAAUCCAAAUACAUUUUAAUGGAUUUCUAAUUUGCACUAUAACUUUAAUUAUUUAAAAAGGCAACACGACGUAUCCAGCGUUUUCUAAUGUGCACUUUAAAACCCAUUAACUAAUUAACCACGUGUUAGAUUACUUCAAAAUGACAGCUUGCCAGAAAGAAUAAUUUCACAGGGAGGUUAAUCCCCUUUUUAUCUUUCAACCAAGUAUGUUUUUCAACAAUAAUUACGCCAGUUACUUUUUGGAUAGCUGCAAAUGAUGGACUAUAGCUUUAAAUCUAGAUUUUGGUUAUGAAAACCUUUAUGUUUACAGUUGGUAAUUAACAUGUUUACCGUUCAAGCAUGACAAUGUGGCAAACAAAUUGGUUAUAUUUAUGUACUUACCA